GUGUCAGCAGCCGCGGUAAUACAGAGGGUGCGAGCGUUGAUCGGAGUUACUGGGCGUAAAGGGCGCGUAGGCGGUUAUAUGAGUGUGGUGUGAAAGCCCCGGGCUUAACCUGGGAAGUGCAUCGCAAACGAUAUAACUGGAGUAGAUGAGAGGGUGGUGGAAUUUCCGGUGUAGCGGUGAAAUGCGUAGAGAUCGGAAGGAACGUCAAUGGCGAAGGCAGCCACCUGGCAUCAUACUGACGCUGAGGCGCGAAAGCGUGGGGAGCGAACAGGAUUAGAUACCCUGGUAGUCC
rnacentral:rRNA from 1 species